UACGUAGGGUGCGAGCGUUAAUCGGAAUUACUGGGCGUAAAGCGUGCGCAGGCGGCUUUGUAAGUCUGCCGUGAAAUCCCCGGGCUUAACCUGGGAACUGCGUUGGAGACUGCAAGGCUGGAGUCUGGCAGAGGGGGGUAGAAUUCCACGUGUAGCAGUGAAAUGCGUAGAGAUGUGGAGGAACACCGAUGGCGAAGGCAGCCCCCUGGGCUAACACUGACGCUCAUGCACGAAAGCGUGGGGAGCAAACAGG
rnacentral:rRNA from 1 species